GAUGAACGCUAGCGGCAGGCCUAAUACAUGCAAGUCGAGGGGUAGAGUUAGCUUGCUAACUUGAGACCGGCGCACGGGUGCGUAACGCGUAUGCAACCUACCUUUAUCUGGGGGAUAGCCCGAAGAAAUUCGGAUUAACACCGCAUAAAAUCACAGUAUCGCAUGAUACAAUGAUCAAAUAUUUAUAGGAUAAAGAUGGGCAUGCGUGUCAUUAGUUAGUUGGCGGGGUAACGGCCCACCAAGACCACGAUGACUAGGGGAUCUGAGAGGAUGACCCCCCACACUGGUACUGAGACACGGACCAGACUCCUACGGGAGGCAGCAGUAAGGAAUAUUGGUCAAUGGAGGCAACUCUGAACCAGCCAUGCCGCGUGCAGGAAGACGGCCCUCUGGGUUGUAAACUGCUUUUAUUCGGGAAUAAACCUAUCUACGUGUAGAUAGCUGAAUGUACCGAAGGAAUAAGGAUCGGCUAACUCCGUGCCAGCAGCCGAC
rnacentral:rRNA from 1 species